UCCAGUCUCUGGACUCAGGAGCCUCCCCGCACUUCUGAAAAGAAAGAGCAAGCCUCUCGACACUUGAUCUUGCAUUUUCGGUCCAACCCAUUAGAGCCCUCUCUACUGUGCGCCCUCUAUCUUCAUCAUUCAUUUUCAGUCCCAGCUCCCUCCUUUCAAUCUCUUGCUCGAAAGUUUUUCAGGCUCUGAGAGAAAUGACCUUAAUGAGGGGAGAGCCACUAGUGACGAAGCUUGCAGUGUUGGCCAAGUACGUGGUUCUUCCUGGAGCCAUGGUCGCCGCCCUCGUCUAUUCACCUCCUGAUUACAAUUCUUCCAAGAACAAUCCUAAGUCCACCAAAUAAGACGUAGCUUGGGACAUACUGCAUAGAAGUGGAUGUUGGAGAUGUGCUCUCCUCCCGUUCAAAUUUCGUAUGGAAUAAUCUGAGCCUAAUAGUAGUUGCUCAAGUUGAGGGAUUUUUCCUGCUUUCUUUGAAGGACUUUGAGAUGAACUCUUUAAAUGUACUUCCUUAUUACCAGAUUUCCUCUGUCAAUCCCCUAAUCGAAUGACUCUCGAUGAAUAACUGUUAGGGAUGAAAUCUCAUUGGAUGACUAGUGCGGCGACUGAUGAUAUGUUUUGUUAAAAACCCAGUAGCUCUCUGUUUCUUGUCACAAAACGUAAACCUUGAUUAGGAUUUAAUUUGUUGAGGUUUUUUCUAAUCAAUGGGGGAGGGAUUCGAAGGUUGAA